rnacentral:rRNA from 1 species
UUUUCAGUGUCGCAGCGAAAGCGAUAAACACACCGCCUGGGGAGUACGACCGCAAGGUUAAAACUCAAAUGAAUUGACGGGGACCCGCACAAGUAGUGGAGCAUGUGGUUUAAUUCGAAGAUACGCGCAGAACCUUACCAACACUUGACAUGUUCGUCGCGACUCUAAGAGAUUAGAGUUUUCGGUUCGGCCGGACGAAACACAGGUGCUGCAUGGCUGUCGUCAGCUCGUGUCGUGAGAUGUUGGGUUAAGUCCCGCAACGAGCGCAACCCUCACUUUUAGUUGCCAUCAUUAAGUUGGGCACUCUGAAAGAACUGCCAGUGAUAAGCUGGAGGAAGGUGGGGAUGACGUCAAGUCCUCAUGGCCCUUACGUGUUGGGCUACACACGUGCUACAAUGGUAUCUACAAAAGGAAGCAAGACUGCGAGGUCAAGCAAAUCCCUAAAAGAUACCUCAGUUCGGAUUGCACUCUGCAACUCGAGUGCAUGAAGCUGGAAUUACUAGUAAUCGUGGAUCAGCGUGCCACGGUGAAUGCGUUCCCGGGUCUUGUACACACCGCCCGUCACACCAUGGGAGUUGGUUCUACCUUAAGGCAAGGUUUAAUACCCUUGACCACGGUAUAGUCAGCGACUGGGGUGAAGUCGUAACAAGGUAGCCGUAGGGGAACCUGCGGCUGGAUUACCUCCUU